ACUAACCUUCCUUGCAGUAGAUGACCAAGUCCAAAAGCCCCAAGCAUAGUAAGCGAAAUCAUUGGAAGACCAGAUCGUACAAACGGUGCUUUCCUGCCCCACCUACUGAACUUUGAAGCUGAGUUUUCAAACCUCGCAACAGAUUGUGCUGGUGCAUUAUCCAAUUUCUUUUGUUGAUCAGUCGUCAUAUAAACACUUUUCAUCUCUAAAAAACAAUAAGAACUCCCGCAUCAUAAUUUCCAAAGCAUCGUUACCAACAAUAAACUCAUUGUUGUCUGAUUACCUCGAAUUUCAGGCGUAAAUAAAAGUGAAGUUAUUUGAUGAUGCCACGCUAUAUAGGUUCCAACAUAUUCAGUUCUAGUGUUUCGACGAAGCAUUUACGAAAUAAACCCACCAGAGUAAAUGAUCAAGUCACGAACUUUGAUAAAAAUAAAUAAAAACCGAUAGUAAAAUAACACUAGCAGUGGACAAGAAACAUGGCGCUAAUUAAUCCAAAAUUAGAACCCUUAUUGGUAAACCGCAAAAAUUUCACACAAUUAAAUUUUCUAAAUUAAUGAGGGAAAAAUAAACCUACCAUUUGUUGUGAUUUCGCCUUAUUAAAUUAAAUAAUAAAUAUCAAACCCAAACAGAUGGAUUCCAACCAAGAGGUCGAGAAUUAUUGUGCAAAACAAAGAUUAGAGACGCCAUAAUACCUUCAGUAUACUGUCACUUGAAUCGUCGGGAUUCGGAUGAGAGAAAAGAGGGGCAGUGGUAGAGCGGUGAAGUUGUCCUUCCCAAAUUUUACAAAAUUUAGGUCCUUUG
rnacentral:lncRNA from 1 species